UUACGUUCAUCCAUACAUAACCUAAUAACAGGUUGUAUGGACGCAUCAAUACAUUAUUCAGGGAACGGGGGAUGGUG
ncrna:unclassified sequences Glutamine-II riboswitch (downstream peptide RNA)